rnacentral:rRNA from 1 species
AUUGAACGCUGGCGGCAGGCCUAACACAUGCAAGUCGAGCGGAUGAGGAAAGCUUGCUUUUCGAUUCAGCGGCGGACGGGUGAGUAAUGCCAAUCAAUCUGCCUGUCAGUGGGGGAUAACCUGGGGAAACUCGGGCUAAUACCGCAUACGUCCUACUGGAGAAAGUGGGGCAUCUUCGGACCUCACGCUAACAGAUGAGCCUCGGUCGGAUUAGCGAGUAGGUGAGGUAAUGGCUCACCUAGGCGACGAUCCGUAACUGGUCUGGGAGGAUGAUCAGUCACACUGGAACUGAGACACGGUCCAGACUCCUACGGGAGGCAGCAGUGGGGAAUAUUGGACAAUGGGCGAAUGCCUGAUCCAGCCAUGCCGCGUGUGUGAAGAAGGUCUUCGGAUUGUAAAGCACUUUAAGUUGGGAGGAAGGGUAUUCACCUAAUACGUGGGUACUUUGACGUUAGCAACAGAAUAAGCACCGGCUAACUCUGUGCCAGCCGCCGCGGUAAAAC